GUUUCCAUUCAACUGCGUUACGGUACUAUUUAUAGCACUGUGGAUUAACAAAUGAGUCAUCCUGCCAAUAAUAUUCCAGCUGAAUAACAAUAACUAUUCCACAUGCUUAUUUCUGUUUUUUUUUUUUUUUAAUUUAUUUUCUUGUUUGUUUGCUUUCAAAAAGCUUUUUCUGGGUGGAAUCCUAUUGUUUAUGUAAGCGUUAACCAAAUACGUAAAUAAAUAACAGUGCAAAAAACUUUGAAUUUUGUUGUUGUGGAUUUUUUUUUUUGGUUGUUUUCUUUUGUUUUGUUUUUCAGGACCAAGUGAACUGCAUAAUUCAGGAGCAGGCUGCAGUGGCUUUCCUGAGACAGAUACAUGCAAUUGUGAAGAAUCAUUAAAUAACUGUUAACCACACCUGCACAGAGCCUCUGGCAAUGCUGGCUUACACAGAAACUCAAGAACUGCCAUGUGCCUGACAUCAUACCUUUGGAAGAAAAGAGAAGUCCUGGGUGUUAGCCCAAGACUGGUGAGUAAAACAUAGUCCACGGACUAGAGUCAGUUUAUGUUUGUUAGUGAUUUUCAGGCCUGUCACACCCAGUAUCUUCGCCCUGUAAAUCUGUCAC
rnacentral:lncRNA from 1 species